rnacentral:rRNA from 1 species
UAGGGAAUCUUCGGCAAUGGACGAAAGUCUGACCGAGCAACGCCGCGUGAGUGAAGAAGGUUUUCGGAUCGUAAAACUCUGUUGUUAGAGAAGAACAAGGACGUUAGUAACUGAACGUCCCCUGACGGUAUCUAACCAGAAAGCCACGGCUAACUACGUGCCAGCAGCCGCGGUAAUACGUAGGUGGCAAGCGUUGUCCGGAUUUAUUGGGCGUAAAGCGAGCGCAGGCGGUUUCUUAAGUCUGAUGUGAAAGCCCCCGGCUCAACCGGGGAGGGUCAUUGGAAACUGGGAGACUUGAGUGCAGAAGAGGAGGGUGGAAUUCCAUGUGUAGCGGUGAAAUGCGUAGAUAUAUGGAGGAACACCAGUGGCGAAGGCGGCUCUCUGGUCUGUAACUGACGCUCAGGUGCGAAAGCGUGGGGAGCAAACAGG